CCUAACUUCAGGCGAUCCACCUGCCUCAGCCUCCCAAAGUUCUGGGAUUACAGGUGUGAGCCACCGCGACCGGCCAUAAUGUUAUGCUUUUGUAAGACUGGCAGCACCAAGAUUUGUUUAUACCAGCAUCAUCACAAACUUACUUUACCAAGCAGACGCUGCUGGAAAAACAAGAACUUUCCUUGUCUGCUGUUAAGAUGCCAGAAAAAUGAUGAAAAGAGCACAGUACCGAAAAUAAGAAGAGAGUAAAACCAUAAUAAGAAAGACAAGGAGAAGAAUAACAAAGUAGUGAAAUGUGAAACCAGAGUUUGAACCUCAGCAGUUUGAGCCCAACUCUGUGCUGGAGGGUGCACGGUGAUUAGGAACUGGCAUGGAUCCCCAGUGCAGCACAACUGCUUCACAGAAAAGUGUCUGUGUGUCUGGAGUUGGUUCCUUCCCAUGGGUUCAUUCGUGGUCUCGCUGACUUCAAGAAUGGAGCCGUGGACC
rnacentral:lncRNA from 1 species